rnacentral:ncRNA from 1 species
CUAGUAUAAAUUUAUUCUUUAUUUUUGGUUAAAUAUAAUUUUUUUUUUUGGUUUUUAUUUUGUUUUGGGUAAAAUUUUGAUGAAUAGUGGUUUAAGGGUUAUAUUUUUAAGAUUUGGGAAGCGAAUUAGAUUAGUACCUAAUUAGUCAAAGUUUAAAAGUUCAGGAGUAAAGUGAAGUUUAAACUGAAAGAAUAUUGGCAGAUUUUCUAAAUUAUCUUUGGAGGUUGAGUAGUAAUUGAGAGCCCUCAUUGACUACUAUUUUUAUAGGCUCAUGUAUGAUCGUUUAUUUUGUUCUUAAGGGAUAAAAUGAUAAGAUUUUUAAUUUUUUAAAAUAGAUAUAUAUUUGGCAUAUGAAGUAGUUGAAUUUGACCUACAAUAAAUUUUGUUUUUGGAUUGUUGAUGUAGUGUCAGUAUGAAAUUGUAAAAGACAGUAAGGAAAUUUUUAUGUUUUCUUGAAGAGUAUUUAGAAGUGGUACAAAUCAUCCAUCAAUUGCCUAAAGG